rnacentral:rRNA from 1 species
UGGGGAAUUUUGGACAAUGGGGGCAACCCUGAUCCAGCCAUUCCGCGUGAGUGAAGAAGGCCUCGGGUUGUAAAGCUCUUUUGUCCGGAACGAAACGGUUGAGGCUAAUACUCUCGACUACUGACGGUACCGGAAGAAUAAGCGCCGGCUAACUCCGUGCCAGCAGCCGCGGUAAUACGUAGGGUGCAAGCGUUAAUCGGAAUUACUGGGCGUAAAGCGUGCGCAGGCGGCUUUUUAAGCCAGAUGUGAAAUCCCCGGGCUCAACCUGGGAACUGCAUUUGUGACUGCAAGGCUGGAGUGCGGCAGAGGGGGAUGGAAUUCCGCGUGUAGCAGUGAAAUGCGUAGAUAUGCGGAGGAACACCGAUGGCGAAGGCAAUCCCCUGGGCCUGCACUGACGCUCAUGCACGAAAGCGUGGGGAGCGAACAGGAUUAGAUACC